GAGGGUAUAGCUCAAGUGGUAGAAUACAUGCUUAGCAUGCAGGAGGUCCUGGGUUCAAUCCCCAGUACCUCCA
rfam:Camelus ferus unplaced genomic scaffold scaffold1792, whole genome shotgun sequence.